ACGAACGCUGGCGGCGUGCUUAACCCAUGCCAGUCGCACGGAAAGGCCCUGCUUUUGUGGGGUGCUCGAGUGGCGAACGGGUGAGUAACACGUGAGUAACCUGCCCUUGACUUUGGGAUAACUUCAGGAAACUGGGGCUAAUACCGGAUAGGAGCUCCUGCUGCAUGGUGGGGGUUGGAAAGUUUCGGCGGUUGGGGAUGGACUCGCGGCUUAUCAGCUUGUUGGUGGGGUAGUGGCUUACCAAGGCUUUGACGGGUAGCCGGCCUGAGAGGGUGACCGGCCACAUUGGGACUGAGAUACGGCCCAGACUCCUACGGGAGGCAGCAGUGGGGAAUAUUGCACAAUGGGCGGAAGCCUGAUGCAGCAACGCUGCGUGCGGGAUGACGGCCUUCGGGUUGUAAACCGCUUUCGCCUGUGACGAAGCGUGAGUGACGGUAAUGGGUAAAGAAGCACCGGCUAACUACGUG
rnacentral:rRNA from 1 species